rnacentral:tRNA from 1 species
AUUGUUUUGGCAGAUUUAAGUGCUUUAAAUUUAGAAUUUAAUAAAAUGUUUAUAUAACAUAAAUAAUA